rnacentral:rRNA from 1 species
CCUACGGGUGGCUGCAGUGGGGAAUAUUGGACAAUGGGCGAAAGCCUGAUCCAGCCAUGCCGCGUGUGUGAAGAAGGCCUUCGGGUUGUAAAGCACUUUCAGUGGGGAAGAAAGCCUUGGGGCUAAUACCCUCGAGGAAGGACAUCACCCACAGAAGAAGCACCGGCUAACUCCGUGCCAGCAGCCGCGGUAAUACGGAGGGUGCGAGCGUUAAUCGGAAUUACUGGGCGUAAAGCGCGCGUAGGCGGUCUGAUAAGCCGGUUGUGAAAGCCCCGGGCUCAACCUGGGAACGACAUCCGGAACUGUCAGGCUAGAGUGCAGGAGAGGAAGGUAGAAUUCCCGGUGUAGCGGUGAAAUGCGUAGAGAUCGGGAGGAAUACCAGUGGCGAAGGCGGCCUUCUGGACUGACACUGACGCUGAGGUGCGAAAGCGUGGGUAGCAAACAGGAUUAGAUACCCUUGUAGU